rnacentral:rRNA from 1 species
GGUUCCGGUUUGGGGGACGGCCCUCCCGGGGACUUUAGAGGGGGAAAGCGGUUUGCCCUAGCGGUGUUGUUGGCCUUUCCGGCCUCAUUGCGAAAGGGGGGAUUUCACCGUCGCCACCCAGUAACUUGUCUCUCCGGCGCUUCACGGCGCUGGUGGCCAACCCCGGCACACGAUAGUUACCUGGUUGAUUCUGCCAGUAGUCAUAUGCUUGUCUCAAAGAUUAAGCCAUGCAUGUCUAAGUAUAAGCAAUUAUACCGCGAAACUGCGAAUGGCUCAUUAUAUAAGUUAUCGUUUAUUUGAUAGUACCUUACUACUUGGAUCUCAGUGGUAAUAAGUCAGAUUACACAUCCUAAAAAUCC